UUAUCUUGGAAGCAUAUAUACUAAGAUUUGAAUGAUACAGAGAAGAUUAGUAUUGACUCUGUGUAAGGAUGACACACAAAUUCAAGUCUUCCACAUUUUU
rnacentral:snRNA from 1 species